UUAAGUUCAGCGGGUAUUCCUACCUGAUCCGAGGUCAACCUUUGAAAGUAGGGGGUUUCACGGCGUGGCCGAGCCGCGCUCCAGUGCGAGGUGCAAUUACUACGCAGGGGAGGCUGCGGCGAGACCGCCACUGUAUUUCGGGGGCGGCGACCGCGCGGGGCGAGGCCGGUCCCCAACACCAGGCCCCCAGGGGGGCUUGA
rnacentral:misc_RNA from 1 species